CGAAGUGUCACUAGCACCUGCCGAGACACCUAGACAUGUAAAUGAACAUACGAGAUCAAGAUCUUCACAAAUGUAGUAGUCAAGUGGGCGGGGUCGACCCACGACUCGCUUAUUUGGAGCAGCUGCAGCAUUGCCACUAAGAUGGUACAGCAGACACCGGAUGGGUGGCUCCUUGGUGAUUCUGGAUAUGAAUGUCGACCAUGGCUUCUAACACCCUUUACUGAGCCGCAGACACGCCCCCAAGAGUGGUUCAACUCCGCCCACACUAGAACAAGAAACACCAUUGAGCGUGCGUUUGCUGUUUUAAAGGCAAGGUUUAGGUGUUUGCACAAGUCCUCUGGAUGUCUGUGGUUCAGCCCAGACAGGUGCUCUGUGGUAAUUAU